CGCCCCAGGAUAUCUCUUCUAUCAUGCUUUGUGUUUGCAUGUUUGGUGUAACACUUGGAGGCCUUCUGAGACGGAUGUUGUUGAUGCAUGUCAUCUCCUCUGAGUGUCAGUUGGCCAAGCUUCCUCAGAUGUGGAGGACGCACAGGCAGCCUCUGACAAUCCUGUGACAGAGCGAAUUUACAUAUGAAAAGCAUAGAAAGCAUGAUUAUAUGGCUCGAUAAAUGUUCAAAAAAUGUACCCACUACUUAAGUGGGGAAACAGCAGCCCUGAGGAGCAUACAUAGAGGCAGGGAUGCCUUGACUGAAAUGUCAUGGAUUUCUUUUACCAUGUCAAGAAUAAAAUGAAGAAAGCCAGUGAACUGUCCAGAUGAAUUCAGUGGUAUCCAAGAAGAUGCUCAGAUGAGAAAAAAAAUGGCCAGAAAUAAAAGAUUCAUUUGAAUAGAAGUCUGAGUAGAAGCUUUGUUCUCAGAAGUAUUAGAAAUGCCUAAAAGUGUCCUGUGGUCAAAUUAAUUUUAAAAUGUUGGAAUGAAUAAAACUAUGUUUGAUUAU